rnacentral:rRNA from 1 species
GACGAACGCUGGCGGCGUGCUUAACACAUGCAAGUCGAACGAAGUGGCGAACGGGUGAGUAACGAGUAGUCACCCUGACCUUCAGAGGGGGACAACAGUUGGAAACGACUGCUAAUACCGCAUAAUGAAGGACGGGCUUGUGUCUGAUUAGCUAGUUGGCGGGGUACCGGCCCACCAAGGCGAUGCUCAGUAGCCGGUCUGAGAGGAUGAACGGCCAAAUUGGGACUGAGACACGGCCCAGACUCCUACGGGAGGCAGCAGUGGGGAAUCUUCCGCAAUGGACGAAAGUCUGACGGAGCAACGCCGCGUGAGUGAUGACGGCCUUCGGGUUGUAAAGCUCUGUUAAUCGGGACGCGGUACCGGAAUAGAAAGCCACGGCUAACUACGUGCCAGCAGCCGCGGUAAUUC